rnacentral:rRNA from 1 species
UACGAAGGGGGCUAGCGUUGUUCGGAAUUACUGGGCGUAAAGCGCACGUAGGCGGAUUUGUAAGUCAGGGGUGAAAUCCCGGGGCUCAACCUCAGAACUGCCUUUGAUACUGCAAGUCUUGAGUCCGAUAGAGGUGAGUGGAAUUCCUAGUGUAGAGGUGAAAUUCGUAGAUAUUAGGAAGAACACCAGUGGCGAAGGCGGCUCACUGGAUCGGUACUGACGCUGAGGUGCGAAAGCGUGGGGAGCAAACAGG